ensembl:lncRNA
GUAACCCAAACACCUUCAAACACAUCCACAGGUAACUAACACGCUCUCAAACACAUCCGCAGGUAGCUAACACACUCUCAAACACAUCCGCAGGUAACUGACACACUCUCAAACACAUCCGCAGGUAACUGACACACUCUCAAACACACCCGCAGGUAACCGAAACACCUUCAAACACAUCCGCAGGUAACUAACACACUCUCAAACACAUCCGCAGGUAACUAACACACUCUCAAACACAUCCGCAGGUAACUACACACUCUCAAACACAUCCGCAGGUAACUAACACACUCUCAAACACAUCCGCAGGUAACCGAAACACCUUCAAACACAUCCGCAGGUAACUAACACACUCUCAAACACAUCCGCAGGUAACUAACACACUCUCAAACACAUCCGCAGGUAACUAACACACUCUCAAACACAUCCGCAGGUAACCGAAACACCUUCAAACACAUCCGCAAGUAACUAACACACUCUCGGACAUCCGAAGGUAACCAACACACUCUCGGACAUCCGAAGGUAACCGACAUGAACUCAAAUUCGUCUGCAGGUCACCGAGGGAAACGCCCCGUUAUUUGCAACAGUGUCGAGUUUUCAAAAGAUAGAAUAAAUCAAACAUCUGAGGCACUUAUAAAACAAAAAGAAAACGGCUCUUAAUUAAAUGUGUGCAGUAGUUUCAAAGUUUACUCCAGGCGUAAUGCUAGUGUCACUUCUCAUGAACUGUCUGUGUGUGUG